GACAUGUAACAAUGGAAAUAUGAACGUUCAAUCACUGGAUACAGUUGUGCAUUCGCGAAGAAAGAAUUUAUGGUUGUUGUUUUUAAUUAAUCCUCUUCUUUGAGCAGAUAAUGUUCAAGCUGAGCCCCCAAAACUGGAGAAUUUGCACCCUUGUCUCCUGCCUGACAGCCCUAGGAAGAAGACAGCAAAAGGACCUUUAUCAACAGAUCUGGGCAAGCAUGGGGGUGAACAUCUGCUGAUGUGACAUCAAAACUAUUGUUAUUAACCGCCUUGAUUCUGCCUCAACUCAUGCUGACCCUGUAGAUGAGAUCCCUGCAAGACCCCUGUCUUCAACUGCUCCACUCAGGUCCUUCAGGCCCAGGCCUGUGAACUUCCUAAAUGAAUCUAAUCAUCUGACAUAUCCAUGGUAUCCUUGGCUGUCCACAGUAUCCUCAGCCCAUUUCUCCAGCACCACGUCUCAGAGGAGUUGAUUUUCUUUCUUUUGGCUUUCUUCACUGUCCAGCUCUCUCAUCCAUACAUUCUGAUGGGGAAUAGAAUGGCUCUUAGACUAUCCUUACUUUAAUGUUCAGAGUUAUGUCUUUACAUUUUAUGGUCCUGUCCAUUUUUUUCAUGUCUGUCCUUCCCAGUCUUUAUCACAUGGACAAAAAGACAGAAUAAUAGUGAUAUGCUCCUGUCAAAAUCUCACAAUAAAAGGAUGUUAUUCACAUGA